GACGAACGCUGGCGGCGUGCCUAAUACAUGCCAGUUGAGCGCUGAAGGUUGGUACUUGUACCAACUGGAUGAGCAGCGCACGGGUGAGUAACGCGUGGGGAAUCUGCCUUUGAGCGGGGGACAACAUUUGGAAACGAAUGCUAAUACCGCAUAAAAACUUUAAACACAAGUUUUAAGUUUGAAAGAUGCAAUUGCAUCACUCAAAGAUGAUCCCGCGUUGUAUUAGCUAGUUGGUGAGGUAAAGGCUCACCAAGGCGGUGAUACAUAGCCGACCUGAGAGGGUGAUCGGCCACAUUGGGACUGAGACACGGCCCAAACGCCUACGGGAGGCAGCAGUAGGGAAUCUUCGGCAAGGGGCGGAAGUCUGGCCGAGCAACGCCGCGUGAGGGAAGAAGGGUGUCGGAUCGGAAAACUCUGUUGGUAGGGAAGAACGUUGGUGAGAGUGGAAAGCUCAUCAAGUGACGGUAACUACACAGAAAGGGACGGCUAACUACGUG
rnacentral:rRNA from 1 species